rnacentral:rRNA from 1 species
GACGAACGCUGGCGGCGUGCUUAACACAUGCAAGUCGAACGGAAAGGCCUCUUUCGGGGGGUACUCGAGUGGCGAACGGGUGAGUAACACGUGAGUAACCUGCCCUUGACUUUGGGAUAACUUCAGGAAACUGGGGCUAAUACCGGAUAGGAGCUCCUGCUGCAUGGUGGGGGUUGGAAAGUUUCGGCGGUUGGGGGUGGACUCGCGGCUUAUCAGCUUGUUGGUGGGGUAGUGGCUUACCAAGGCUUUGACGGGUAGCCGGCCUGAGAGGGUGACCGGCCACAUUGGGACUGAGAGACGGCCCAGACUCCUACGGGAGGCAGCAGUGGGGAAUAUUGCACAAUGGGUGGAAGCCUGAUGCAGCAACGCCGUGUGCGGGAUGACGGCCUUCGGGUUGUAAACCGAUUUCGCUCAUGACGAAGCUUUGUGUGACGGUAGUGGGUAAAGAAGCACCGGCUAACUACGUG